GAUGAACGCUAGCGGCAGGCUUAACACAUGCAAGUCGAGGGGUAUAGUUCUUCGGAACUAGAGACCGGCGCACGGGUGCGUAACGCGUAUGCAAUCUACCUUUUACAGAGGGAUAGCCCAGAGAAAUUUGGAUUAAUACCUCAUAGCAUUGCAGGAUGGCAUCAUUCAGCAAUUAAAGUCACAACGGUAAAAGAUGAGCAUGCGUCCCAUUAGCUAGUUGGUAAGGUAACGGCUUACCAAGGCUACGAUGGGUAGGGGUCCUGAGAGGGAGAUCCCCCACACUGGUACUGAGACACGGACCAGACUCCUACGGGAGGCAGCAGUGAGGAAUAUUGGACAAUGGGCGCAAGCCUGAUCCAGCCAUGCCGCGUGCAGGAUGACGGUCCUAUGGAUUGUAAACUGCUUUUAUACGAGAAGAAACACUGCUUCGUGAAGCAGCUUGACGGUAUCGUAAGAAUAAGGAUCGGCUAACUCCGUGCCAGCAGCCGCAGUAAAAC
rnacentral:rRNA from 1 species